CUGUGGCCUGAGUUCACCAGGCAGGUCGCUUGGAGCAGAAAAGUUGGUCUUACCUGUGGUCCUGCGGAUGAAGUUGCUCAUGGGUGGUUGCUUUUGAGCUCUCCAUGAGAGCGGCAACCAGGAGGGCCUGCGCUGCCUUUUCCAGGAGGCCCCCUGCACCGCGGUCCCAGAUGGCAUUUAGGUGUUUUCCUCUGGAGUAAGAAAUGUGGGCAGAGUGCACACACUUCUGGCUUCCCAGGUGUGUCUGCCCCUCUGAAGUUUUAGCUCUCCCUCCCACGGGAUUUGGGUGCAUAGAACUGUUUGCCGGGUCCCUUCAGGUCCGGGUGGUGUCUGGCCUGCAGUGGACCUGCCACUUGAGUGCGAGAGGCAUUCUUUUUCAAAACAUUUUUUUUUACAAUGUGCCAGAAUGAAUGGCAAAAUAAAAUCGACAAGUUGAAAAUAAAAUGUCAGAAAUAAAAAUCAAUAAUGAUUCAUAACUGUAUGAAAACAUUAUAUGGGAUAUAAUGUAAAUUAUUGAGAUUUAAAAACCUACAUAGCUAACACAUCUGGAAAAAAUAAGAAUAGAAGAUUUGACCCAAAUUUCAAGACUUCAUAAUUUUGUCUUGCUAAGUAAAGCUUAUAAUACUUACGAUUAAUUACUAAUGACUUAAUCCAUAUCUAAGGAAGAAGAUGAGGCAGAUGACCAGCCUGCUCCCUCUCAUAUCCCACAAAUUUCCCAGGAAUUCUGCCCUAUCCAGUGAUACAGGAAGGUUGCUCUAACCAGGGACACAGGAUGCUUGCACUAUCCAAGUUCAAAGGAGCCCCUCCCCUUCAUUGAGAGACAGCACUUCUUGUCUUCCAGGAGGCCUGCUCUAACCCAUGUCACAGAGCUCUCCAGCUCCCAAGGAGGCCAUCUCUAGUCACAGACACCCAGCCCAGUUAACACCACAGGUGACCAGGUGGCAAGCAACAGAAGCCAAUGUAAUUUGGCAACAAUGAAACCCAGCUCUCUCACCACAGCAAGCCUUAAAUACCCUAACAUAGGUGAAAGGCAAUAUACUGACAUAAAAUUCCAUUCCAUUAUAUUGAUAGAGGCCUUCAAGAAGAAUACAAAUAGUAUCCUUAAAGAAAUAUAGGAAACACAGGCAUAGAGGUAGAAAAUGCUUACCAAUGAAACAGUCCUCUGCUGCUGGGGGUAUUGAAAACUGGUACAAACUCUCUGGCAAUCAAUCUGGUGAUUCCUGAGAAAACUGGAAAUGAUUCUUCCUGAAGAGCCAGCUAUACUACUCCUGUAUAUAUACCCUAAAGAUGCUACACCAUAUUUCAUGGACAUGUACUCCAUUAUGUUACGGCCUAUGUUCACCUUAUUUAUAAUAGCCAGAACCUGGAAGCUUACAGAUGUCCCUCAACUGAAGAAUAUGUACAGAGAAUGUGACUCAUUUGCAUAAUGGAACACUAUUCAGCUAAUAAAAACAAGGAUAUCAUGAAUUUGCAGUGUAAGGAAAUGGAACAAGAUGGCUUUCCUGGUAAAGGCAUUUACCACUAACCUGAUGACCUGAGAUUGAUCUCUGGACCCGACACUUUAGAGGGAGAGGAAUGAAUGCUGCAAGUUGUCCUCUGACCUCCACAUUCUUAUGGUUGCAUUUGUGUACCUACCUCCACAAAACACAAUAAACACAUGAGAUGUUUAAGAUGGAGAGCAUACUUCUGUGUUAUAAAGCAAAAUUCCUAAAACACUGCUUGGGAUAUGAUAAUCUCUGAUCCUUGGCAAUACCUCUCCUUUAGGAAUGUCUUCUGCUAUAUCUCCACACAGGAAAGGCAAAAGUAUGUGAUGAAGAUGUGAAAAAAUAAAUCAAAUCUGUCUCUGUGA